ensembl:lncRNA
UAAUACUAUUUACAAUUCCACAAUUAUCAUUUUAAUCCUGGCCAAAAAGGCAGACGGAAGCCUCAUCAGUACUAAAUGAAAAACACCAUUAAAAAUAAAAUAAAAAUGAAUAAACAAAAAAGGAAAAGAAACAAAAGUAUUCUCCUUCCUGAUCUAUCUGCAUCUCUCACAUCUCAUCCAUGAGCAAGCUCAGACUUAGAGUGUGAAAUGAAACAUGAAGAGUUAAUGAGUAAACUUAUAAAAAACUGUAGGACAAGAAUACUAUAAUAAAACAGAAUAGUUGAGUUUGAAGGAACCUACAAAGAUCCAGCUAUUCUACUUGCCAGAAUACUUCAGAGCUAACUAAAAGAUAAAGCAUAUUAUUAAGGGCAUUAUGGAAAUGGCUCUUGAACACUGACUGGCACGAGGCCUCAUUAGGAAGCUUGUUCCAGUGUUUGACCACACUUUUUUUACUACAGUAGAUUUUUUUUUCCUACUAGACAGUCUGAACCACUCCCCUGAUCCAGCUUUGUGCCAUUUCCAUGUGUCCUAUCAUAGAUUACCAGGGAGAAGAGAUCAGCAUCUUCCAUUCAAUUUCCACUCCUCAGGAAGUAAUAGAGAGCAAUAAAGCCUUUAGCUUCCUUUUCUACAAACUUCAUAAACAAAGUGUCCUCAGACUUUCCUCACAGGAUGCCUCCAGCCCUUUUACCAGCUUUGUUGCCCCCCUCUGGAUGCUUUCAAGCAUCUUAGUAUCCUUUUUAUAUUGUGGAGACAAGGACAGCAUACACUAUGCAAGGUGAGACUGCACCAAUCCUAAAUAUGGUGGCAGAUCCACCUCUUUUGAUUGGCUGGCUAUUCUGUGUUUAAUGCAUCCAGUAUGGGGAUUGCCCUCUUGGUUGCCAGGUAUACCAUAGGCUGAUGUUGAGCCUGUUGUUGACUGGAACCCCCAGAUCCUUUUCUGAUCUCCAACCACUUAUCUCCUGGUCAGAACCUAUGUCUAGCAUUUCUCUGUCCCAGCUCCAGGUUAUCUGGAUCUCAAUGCAAGGCCUCUCAUCCCUCCAGAGGGUCAGCAGUACCUCCCAGUUUAGUAUCAUCAGAAUCUUGCUAAGGAUACAUUCCAUAGCUGCAUCCAGAUCAUUGAUAAAAAUGUUGAACAGAACCAGCCCUACAGCUGAGGCCUAGGGAACACCACUAGUGACUGGCUGCUGCUGUAUCAGCCAAGGCAAAAUCAUUAGUUCAGUAACAUUUAUACGGUCAGUUUGGGCCAUCUUCCAGAUGAGGAAUGUUUAAUAGUAGAAGGAAAGAUUAUGACUGUAGGUUAAUUGCAUAACGACAAGUGUAUGCGGUUGUUUAAAUAACACUGCUGUGAACACAGAACUGCUUGCCCACUAUCACAAUGUUUUAAUAUGCUUUCUUGCAGUGUGAAUUAUGAUUAAUGAAUUUCUAGGUGAAUGAAUUACAAUAUGGUGAUGAAAUGUAAUACAUUAAAAUGUCUCUGCUGGCAUCGCUGUAUUAGAAAGGUGACUCUAGUUUUGAGUGUAUGAGGGCUUAUAAAACAUGUUUAAGCUACCACAUAUGUGAUAGUUUUGGAAAACCGUAAGGGGGUGCUUUCAGAUAAAACUUCUUACUAAAACAUGUAAGUAAUUAAUUGGGAAGAAACUAUACUUUUGGAGCUUAUGCUUAAACUUUUAGAGCUUAUGCAACGUGACUUCCGGCAUGGAUACGUUCUGUCUUUGGGGACUUAAUGAAGAAUUUGUUUCAUUUGCUUUCUCUUUUCUUCAAGUGUUACCUUGGUGUAAUAAAACAAACCCACCUUGUAACAUGAAUUUCAUGUACCAUGCACCUUUCCUGCUGUCACAUGCCUAAGGUUUUAUAUAGGUUUAUUUUUCCUCAAGAGAGCAGAGAGUUUAUCAUCAUCUCUAGCACGCUGAGAAAAAAGGGCUUAUAAUUAAGUCCAGCAACAAAUCUAACUCUACUCAGUCACAAUUAAAAAUUGGAGUAAUAACUAUCAAUAACACAUAAGGAAAUAUAUUCUUUUAAAUACUUAAUGUUUUUAUAAAGAAGAUAUUUUUACUCCGAAGCCAUGAAGUUUUUUUGCACCAGUUUCAUUGAAAAAGAUUAUCAUUCACCAUGUUUUCCCGUUUAGAAGUAUGUAAAAGAAACAAACACAUCCUGAUUUUGUUAUGUUUUAUCUUUCUGUCUGAUGAAAAGAAGAGGAAUGGCAUUUUCCUUUGGCUUCUUGUAUUGCAUGUGUUUUAUUUUGGUGAACUAAGCUGAAGUAACUAUUCCUGCUCAAGGAAAGACUAAUAAAGAAAAUAUUCUGUUUUC